rnacentral:lncRNA from 1 species
GGGGGGGGGGGGGGGGGGGGGGGGGGGGGGGGGGGGGGGGGGGGGGGGGGGGGGGGGGGGGGGGGGGGGGGGGGGGGGGGGGGGGGGGGGGGGGGGGGGGGGGAAAAAAAAAAAAAAGUAAAAAGUUAAAUCUUGGGACUUUCUGCUGUUACACAAACGGCACUGCUGCUGCACAUCAUCGGGGAGUUGAAAAAUUAAUUCCAAGAAAAGUCUGAUUUUUUUAUUUUUACUGAGAUAGAAAAGUCUGAUUUUUUGAUUUUUACUGAGAGUUAAAUCUUGGGACUUUCUGCUGUUACACAAACGGCACUGCUGCUGCACAUCAUCGGGGAGUUGAAAAAUUAAUUCCAAGAAAAGUCUGAUUUUUUUAUUUUUACUGAGAUGGAAAAGUCUGAUUUUUUGAUUUUUACUGAGAUGGUGGAAGUGUGGUGAGAGUGUUGGAAUGGAGCAGUAGAGGCGCUUUAGGAAGGACAGGAACGGGAGAUUUCAGAGCCACUUCCAGCACCUAAAGGGGCUCCAAGAGAACUUUUCCAGAUCCCUUCCAACCCAAAUCGUUCCAGGACCGGGAUUCUGAGACAAAGCCGAGGCACAGAAGAGUUGUUAAUGUUUUCCCUAGGCUUGAACUCUGGACUAAUCCUCUGGCACCUCCCCGGUGACUCACCGGAGGUUGUUAAAAAGUGUGUUUGCUGCCCCUUUCCUAAGAAGUGCCCCAGGCAGGAAAAUCUGCAGCUGAUGCGCUGAAAAAUGCGAUCGGAACCAAGGCAAGAAAAAUGAGACCAGCGCCGUGGCAGGAAAAUCUGCAGGUCACGGGCUGAAAAAUGCGACCAGGGAAAGUGCUGCUCGCCAAGGAAAGGGCUCAGUGGCCCACAAUGAGCAGCCCCUGCACUGUGGGACUCCUUGGACCGAACUGGAGGAGUAGGAUCGCGGCUAAUCCACUCCGGAUGGAAUGUUUCAGCCUGGCUGUGCCGCGAUGAAUGAAGCCGACGUGUGAAUUCGAGGAGGAGAAGAAUAAUUCCCGCUCGUUUCCUGGGUGGGUACUUCUAUUACAAGCCCCAAAAAGUAUGUGGGGCAUUUUGUUGAGCCAAAAUCAUGUGUUCUGUGCUUUGGAUACCGACUGCAGCUGAAGUCAUUGAGUCCUUAGAGAAUGAUUAAUUUUCUUUUUAGAAUGAGGUUUAGGUCCAAGACUACAGCUAAGUUUUAAUCGGCGUGCAAAAGGAAUGGGGAAGGAUUCACCAUUCUCUCUGUUCAUCCUCUCUGAAAAAUCAACCUGAUGCUCUUUAGGGAGCUGAA